AUAAAAAAAGCAGUUAACAUUAUAUGACAUACUGUAGUUAACAUCACAGUUCGGCCCACUGGAUAUUUUCAAACUAUAGAAAUGAUUCCAAUGGUUAAAAUCUGCACUUUUGUGUGAAUUACGAAGAUCUGCUUCAUGAAGACGAGGCACGAACCGAGUGGGGCAGAGUGCACUCUGCAUGCAGUUGACGGAGCAGCAAGUGAAGUCGUCACUGGAGACAUUCAGUCACACACUUCGGAAAAGGAGACCUUCUUCUCAUUGCCUGUGAAAAAUACAUGACAGGCAGGAGGUUUGCAGAUCAGUGAGAAACAACUGCUUGCCCACUCUCUGACCAAGAACCUCAGUGUUCAAAGACCAAGAAAGACUAAAAAAGUCUGAGGACCCAUCCAUCCUUUUUCUACCGCUUAUUCCCUUUCGGGGUC